GGCCGACAAGGCUAUCAUAUUUAUUACAGCUGACAAACCAACCAUAUAUAUAUAUGCAAGGCCUGAAAGCCCAACGUACUGCACUAACUGAUAAGAUAUAUCCACAAGCCUCUACUAAUGCUGUGAUCGGAACAGCUCUCCGACCUACUCAUGACAUAUAUACGUAUAUAUACAAGAUAUACAUAAAGUUCUAGACCCGGAAACUCCGAAAGGCAUGGAGCUUACCAAUCAAGCUGAACUCGGGCAACACUUAUUGAAGAGGCCUACUCGUCUAUCUGUCUGACCUGCACGCAUGAAAUGCAGUGCCCCCACAAAAGGGACGUCAGUACAAAAUAAUGUACUGAGUAUGGAAGGCAAUAUACUGUAGUUGAAACUAAAUUGAUAAUAUCAUAACUGCAAGUAGCUGGAAGUCAAAGAUAAUCUGAAGAUAUGCUUACCUGCUGAUACCGACUCAAUUCUCUCAAUAUAGUAAGUAAAAUAGAUGUCCGGCCCUAUAAGGCUCGGUAUACAUAUAUAUCUGUUCUGCCGUAGUAGGCUCGCUCAUAAGCGCUCGGCUAUACUAGGCUCUGUAUCUCGACCAACUGGGCUCCCUCAUAUGCGCUUGGCCACAGUAGGAUCGUCAUAUAACUUACCAUCUGAUCAGAGGUUGCCCAAUAGGGACCUGCCCAUCGAUUAUAGCUCGAUGGUAAUGAAAAUACUUUUAAUACUGUAUAUAUGUAAACUCUCUACUCUCUUGACUGGAAGAAGGAAAUACUCAAUUGAAUAUAAAGUCCCGAUAAAGAGAAUAUUGUAACUUACAAUACUAGGAAGAUAUACGCAAUUCGCGAGACUAACAAAAUAUACGUAAAUUUCGGGAUAUGAAUGUAAUGACGAGAUCAUGCCAAAUGAAAGAACAACUUAGCCUUAACAUACCCGACACGUCAAUGUCCUGGACCCUCUCCAUCCAUUAAUUUCCUCAAGGCCAAGUUUCCACUCCAUUAAGUUCACCUUCGGUAGAGGAUUCAUUGAAGCUGGAUGAGAUGCAACAAUAGGAAGCACAACAACAUGCAGAACUUGUUUAUGAGCUAAUGAUUGGUGGGUUGUUUUAAUUUACCACGAGCUCAAUCACUGGAGAAAUACUACGUUCAAUUAUCACAAAAUGAAGCACUAUCAAUACAGUAACUCUUGCUGUUUAACUCACUAUCUCAUCAAGAACAACAUUUUCUAGCAAUUGCAGAACAAGCACAUCAUCACCAAUCUGCGAUAAACAAGAACAAACAACUCUAACAACUGAUUUGAAGGUUCCACGAAUUGACUUCCCUUCAUGCUUCUUAGUAGGAUAGAUUUUCUUUGCCAAUUUCUUUUGCAGUAAUCCUUCUAUCAGUUUCUCUUCUUAUUGACUGUUAAAUUACUAAUCAAUAAACUAGGGAAUCAUUCUAUUUUUUGUCCAAUAUCAUUA
rnacentral:lncRNA from 1 species